CCUACGGGUGGCAGCAGUGGGGAAUAUUGGACAAUGGGCGAAAGCCUGAUCCAGCCAUGCUGCGUGUGUGAAGAAGGCCUUCGGGUUGUAAAGCACUUUCAGUGGGGAAGAAAGCCUUGGGGCUAAUACCCUCGAGGAAGGACAUCACCCACAGAAGAAGCACCGGCUAACUCCGUGCCAGCAGCCGCGGUAAUACGGAGGGUGCGAGCGUUAAUCGGAAUUACUGGGCGUAAAGCGCGCGUAGGCGGUCUGAUAAGCCGGUUGUGAAAGCCCCGGGCUCAACCUGGGAACGGCAUCCGGAACUGUCAGGCUAGAGUGCAGGAGAGGAAGGUAGAAUUCCCGGUGUAGCGGUGAAAUGCGUAGAGAUCGGGAGGAAUACCAGUGGCGAAGGCGGCCUUCUGGACUGACACUGACGCUGAGGUGCGAAAGCGUGGGUAGCAAACAGGAUUAGAUACCCCUGUAGUC
rnacentral:rRNA from 1 species